rfam:Gongylonema pulchrum genome assembly, scaffold: GPTH_contig0037353
GGACAGGUGGUGUAGUGGUAACGCAUUGCGUCCGGACGUGAAGAAGGGUGGUUCGAUUCCCUCUCGGUCCA